GAGGGCCAGGAUGGACAUGUCAAGUGGUAGAUCAAGACAUGGUCAUACAAAGGAAAAUCCACGUUGGGGCAUGCAGUUCACACAAACAAAGACGGGAUGACUGCACGGAGAUUGAUGACAGGAUACCCCACCAUGCCAUUCGUGUCGUGCGCCACAGUGACCAGCACAUCAGUGCCAGCUGAGUGAGGCGGUGUCAGUGCUUGUAACACAACCACACGGUGAAUGCCAGAGCGAAUCUCUAAGCCAGAGGUGGAGUGUCUUUCAUCGAGACGUGACACCGAUGGCGAGGGAAACCAUGUAAACAACUAACGGGGAAGUCGGCUGUCCCCGAGGCUAAGAAUCAAAAGCAGAAACCAUACCUUUCACCUCCAGUUUUGGCAACAGCGAGAGCAACAGUAGCAGCAGCACCUACUCCUCAGCCACAUGCCCAUCCGAUUGCAGGCAGUAUGCAAACUGGGAUCCAGUUAGAAUAACCUAAGACCCCAGUGUACAUCUUUGAGUACUAUAAGAGGUCCAGGCUUCCAAGGCUAUCUUCAGCUGACAACUGAAAACAUCAUCUUGGUGAAAUAGGUGGCGGAUAUUAUCAAUGGCUGACUGGCCAUCGAUGGCCACUAAGGUCAGUCACUGAACAGCUUUGAUAUUGUGAAACGUCCAACAAUAAGACAGUCACAUUUGGUCUGUUUGCUGGUGAGAUUUAACACAACCAUCAGAACCAAAAGUUCAUCCAGUCAAUGAAUCAGGUUCCAGAACAAACGCACAACAGCAAACAGCCUUUUCCAAUGCAUUGAGAACUAAUCUCCCAGAAAUUCAACUACAACAAGCAUUGUAAAUUCUCGUGAACCUUUUGUUUCCAAAGAACCUCAGUGAAACUUCAAGUCACCACAACCAAACAAAAGACUACAGGCCUUAAGUCAGAAGCAGAGAUACAUGUAAUCCACAAAAGAGCACUAUCUUUAUCUGUCUUCAAUUAUAUUGUGUUGGAUGUGUGAGUGAGACCAGGUAUAUGUGAGGGUUAAUUUAUAAAUAUCUGAGAGUAACCACUUUAUUUUUAAACUCCUGAAAACUUACAACUUAAUUAUUUAAUUGGAAUACAAAUUCAAAGGGGUUAAAAAGGCACACCUCUUUCCAUAGAAAAAUUUUGAUGACAGCAAUAGGAAAUUACAUACAUUCUGCUCAUGAUUUUAUAAAUUUUCAAUUGCUGCUUCUUUUUGUAAGGAAGUAACUUAACAUUGUGAUAUUCUACUGACCAAUCAAUUAAUCUGUGUGCAUUAUUUAUAUUGUUUUCAGUCUGUGAUACUCUGAAUCAAAGAGCUUUGUUUUAAAGUAAGUUGGUGUAUACUUAUUAAAGAAACUGUAACACAGCAUAAAGAAAUUAAAUUAUGCAAUGUUUAUAUUUACCAAACAACGUGACUAAUACUACAAGAUUUUAAGGUGUGCAGGCUUGAGGUAUUUUUACUUCCACCCGAGUGUGUACAGAUUUGCUUCAAGAUUAUUUUUUUUUCCCCUCCAGUUUCAGGUUUAAGAUAUAACAUCAUUUCAACAAUUCUUGUAUUAGAUGCAGGCUCCUACUGUUUUUUUUUUGUUUGCCUCUCACCUAGCAACUAUCACUUCUAUUACCACAUCUGAAAUAAGACACACACAGUACGUAACCUCUCAAACACCACCCUAUGAAACAUAAGAUAACAAAAAUGCCUGGGUGACUUCCUCAGACCUCCAAGGAUAUACUUGAAUGGUGGACACAAACUUUGUGCCUAAUUGAACUAUUUGUUAAGAUGUAAAGCCCUAUCUAAGACGGAAGCCUUUGAAAAGAUUAAAUAGAAUUUUCUCAGCACACCUUGACUUUACAAGGUGGACGGAGCAAUUUUAUUGGGUUGGACAUCUUCAUCCAAGCUCCAGUGAGUCCAAACAUUGUCUGUUACUCAGCUCUUUCAUGGCCAAGUGUUUCCUUCCCAGAGCAGUGUUAGUGUUGUGGUGAAACCUCUUCAUAUUGAUCAGCUCAUGAGAAGUCUCAGUCAUUUGCAAAACAGGUUGUUGUUGCCAAAAAUGCAUAAUGUUGAGUAUGAAGCCUGAUUAGGCCAAAUAGCUCACCCAAGAGAGGCAGCUACACUUGCUAAUAUGAGUAAAGCUCUUCCCACUCUUACCUGAAAAAUCAAUUAUCUCUUGGGGAGGUGGAGCCUGAAACAAGGGAGGAAAAGAAAUUUACAUUCCCAGCUAUCUAAUUUAUGUUUACAUUCAAUUAUGUGUACACAAUUUCUGGCUGUUUUGGUUUGCAAAAAUAUUCUGUGCACUAAUGUUUUCUAAUUGAUUUUCUUUGUUGCCAUCCAAUCACAUGUUAAUAUUUUCUGUCUUGAAAUUAAUUAGCAGGAUACUGGCUUGAAAGUACUUAAUAUAUUUGUCAGAAAUCUUUGCUUCUCAGUGAAAAUCUACCAAUUUGUAUGUUCAAACAGUGUGAAAUGGCUUAAUUUCAGGGUAUAUUAUGAAAUAACAAAAAUAGCUUGUUUAAACUGAAAUAAUUUUAGACAUGAAUUUAUUCCCUCUACGUCCAUAUUUAUUCCUGUCACGAAGGUGCGGAAAUAAAAUUCUUCAGAAUACGACCUUGCCUUGAAAACUUGACAAAGAUCUCUUGAUUAGGAUUAUUUGAAGUGAGCAGUAUUUUUGAAAAUGGCAACAUGGUAAACCAGAUCUUUCAGACAAAAAAACCUCACUGAUAGUUUACUUCCAUGAUAUAUAUACUGGGCUGAACAUAUAUGAGGCAUUACAUUUGUAUUUGCCAUUUUUUUUAAAAUGGAUUCAUGAUCUGAACAAGUUGCUGAUGGCAUUGUUUUUGCUAAAUCAAUUACCACCCACUCCCACAUAGAUAUAAAUGCAUUUUGCGACUGCUGAGCUGCGUACAGCUUAAAAAAAACAGAUGGUUCAUCUGCUCAAGAUAGUGCCUGCCUGUGCUAAUUAUGAAAAGGUGGAUUUAUACAGUGGCAUGUUGCAGUGAUGUACAAACAAUUUGUAAUAUCAGAUUUAUUUUGAAAUUUAUUUCUUUCUAAAUAUGGUUGAAUCAUUCUCCAUCUAAGUUAUUGAUGUUUUUGUUUUAUAACAUCUUCUAAAGCAUGCAUUGCUAAAACAGGAAGAGAAAUUUUGUAGUGAGACACCACUGAAGCUCUGUUGAAGUAAUGGUUAUUCUCUGGAGAGCUGCUAUGCUGCAGUCUGCCUUUUAUGAAUACGGCAAUGCAUUCAUAUCUGAGCCUACAGUGUGUGGCAGAUGAUUUAUCCUGUAUCUGGCAAUAAACAUCGUGCAAAAUCCUAAAAUUUUUCAUCAAUUUUAGAAUGAAGAAAUAUUUCUUACAGCCAGACUUGCACAUAGUUAGUCAAUAGAUGAGUAGUUUCAAGGUAGGAGCAAAUAAUCAAAGACUUCAAUGUUUGACUUCCUCACUGUUUUCUGGAGAUUAAUUUGGACAUACAAUGUAACAUUUUAGGUCCACCAAGAAAGAAUAGGAAUUCCUUUCACAACAAAGAUAUACAAAUUAAGCUUAACAAAUGCAUGUAAUGGUUGCUUACUUAGACAGUCUGGAAAAGGGAUACUUCUAAGUUAAAUAGAUAUCUGAAAUGCCACCAUUUAAUAUUUUCCACAUUGUAAACAAAUAUUAAUAUUCAUUAAAAUCAUUUGCUCUAUUGUGAUGUCUGAAAAUUAUGAACUAUCACUGAAGUAGAAAAUGGAAAUGAACUCCUUUUAUAAUGUGAGUUAAGUAACCUGGUCUUAUAAUAUAGUUGGCAAGAUUCAAAAUCUGUUUCCUUGUGACAGAUCGUGAUAGCUGAAUAGAUUUGUUUCAUCAUGGAAGUAAAUUCAUUAUCAGACCAGGAUGGAACAGAAGGUGCAAAAGGAAGAAAUGAGAUGACGUGAUGUCCUUCACCUUGUUAUCGAAAUGUGAAUCAAUAAAAAUCACCACUGGGAGCAGCGGAACUGGAUUUAAACUCUUGCUACCAAUAUAUGAAAUCUAAUAAUCGGUCAUUAAAGUCAUUUUACAAUUUGUAAAUCUUUGCUGAAAAUUCACCUUUCUUCAACUUUUUAAAUCAAUGUACUUUCUCCAUAAAAUAUUUCAGCCCCCUGGGAUGGAAUUUUAAAUGAAUUCUGAUUAAUCUCCACUAAUUACUCAUUUUAAUAUUAAAAUUUUCAGAAAUGAUUUGGAAAAUAUUUAGUAGUUCUGGUUUUCCUCCUGAAGUGAUUUCUGAUUUGCUUUUCAUACCAAGGAUGUCACAUCACUAGUUAAAAGGAGUGUGUUCCCAUUUCUCAUAUGCCUGUGUCAACACUAAAUAAAAUAUUUAAUUAAAACGUUAUUUCUUAAGGGAACAUAGAAAUAGGAAAGAAGCUACUAAAUUAAGCCCUCGGGAAUAUCGAAUAGCCACUUAAUCCAUCUGUUCACAAGAAAAUGUAUGUUUUUUUCUGCUGGUUAAGUAUUUUGACUUCUAUGAUAGAUGUUUGUAAUAUGUGAGGAAUCAUAUAUUUGGAGGUACCUUGUAUAUUUUAAAAUUGAUUUUGGUUACAUUGAAUGAACAUCUGUUUUCUACUUUCUGUGAAGGUACGACAACAACAUCUAAGCAAUGCUUUCCAUCUGCUUGUUCUUAGAAAAAAAAUGAGACCCAAAAUGUUCUGUCUU